GUUUUAGUAUAAGUAUGUUCCAUGCAAUAUUUGAGAUGUAAUUAUACUAAAA
rnacentral:pre_miRNA from 1 species